GUCUAUGGCCAUGCCACCCUGAACAAGUCCGAUCCCGUCUGAUCUCGGAAGCUAAGUAGGGUCGGGCCUGGUUAGAACUUGGAUGGGAGACCACCUAGGAAGACGAGGUGCUGUAAACG
rnacentral:rRNA from 1 species